UACGGGGGGGGUAAGCGUUGUUCGGAAUUACUGGGCGUAAAGGGCUCGUAGGCGGCCAACUAAGUCAGACGUGAAAUCCCUCAGCUUAACUAGGGAACUGCGUCUGAUACUGGAUGGCUUGAAUCCGGGAGAGGGAUGCAGAAUUCCAGGUGUAGCGGUGAAAUGCGUAGAUAUCUGGAGGAAUACCGGUGGCGAAGGCGGCAUCCUGGACCGGCAUUGACGCUGAGGAGCGAAAGCUAGGGGAGCAAACGGG
rnacentral:rRNA from 1 species